rnacentral:lncRNA from 1 species
AGGAAUUGAAAAAAUGGAGUGGAAGAAAAUUGGAAUGUUGGCUGUGGUGGGGAUGCUGGUGAUGGCAGCUUUGGUGGAGGAUUGUCAUGCAGCCAUUGAAUCAGAGUCUGUGAAAGGUUUGAAUAAAAAUGAAUUGCCAAGAAAGAUGAUGAAUGAAGAAACUAGAAUGUGCCCUAGAAUCCUUGAAGAGUGCACUACCGACGAUGAUUGCAUGAAUGAUUGCAUUUGCCUCUCCAAUGGCUUUUGCGGUUGAAACCUCUCUUAGAUAUAUACCUAAAUCUAUCUUAUCUUUUGCUGUCUGUGUGUGUGUUUUUUCUUUUCUUCUCUUCUAUUUCUAUGGCAAUAAAGUUUGUAACUUUGAUCACUCUAAUCUAUGAAUAAUGUGUAUCAUCAAUUUGUGCAACACCCAUCAAGGAAUAAUAACAUGUAAGCUUUUAAUAAAUUUCUCUGUUUAUAUGAUGCCUCUAAUUCCUUUCAAUGCUUUGAAGGUUACUAGCUAUAUCUAUAUUAUAUAUGGUUUAUACAUAUUACAUUGUUAAGUCAUGGGUUAAGUAUAAAACAUUUCCCUCUCCUCAUAUAUCUCUUCUCUCUCCCCCACUUCCUCCACUGUCAAGAAAAUCGCCAUCAAAGUAAGCUUGACGAAUGCGUUCGGGUUUGCUUUUUCACCAAAAACCACAUUGGCCAGUAGUAGUAGUUAAUGUAUAUAUUGAACAAAUAGAACUUCCCCCAAUUUACAAAAUGUAUAUAGGAGGGAAGGGAUAGUGAUUAUUCAAUGGUGUGAACAAGAAAGAGAUAAGAAAAGGUAUUCAUCACUCAUAUAUUGACAAUUUAAACUAUUUCUCAAUUGAUAAUUAUAAACUAGUUUAGAGAUAAAACUUCACAUGUUUAUGUACUAUAACAUCAAAGUCUAUCAAAUUCAUAAAAGAAAAAAACAAAAACAAAAGAAAGGAAAAAGAACUUUCACAUGGUGCAUGAGCUGCUUAAUUUUGAAAGAUUACAAAACCUCAUCAUCAUAUUUUAAUGUUAGAUAGAGCCAUUUGAAUCUCCUACACUGAAAAUAUAAUUUAACCAUUAUAUUUGAUUUAUUACUUAUCACUUUUUUAAAAAAUUAGAUGUUCACUUGUUCGAAAACAACAAAAUGUUUACCCCACACCAUUUAUUAGUGAGUUAUUAAAAGGAGAGGGUUGGUUGAAGCAACGUUUUCUCACUAUUAGGGUCUCCAUUUGAGAGAAUCACUGAUUUCUCACUUUGGUUGAAGUAUCAAACCAACUUGUUUUGAUUUUCAUACUUAAAAGAUUGAACAUACAAAAAAACGUGUUGUCUCUCUUAGUUGGGUAACUUUGUUUCAUUUAUUUAUAUAAACCAAUCCAACUAACUUCAUUAAAUUGGCUCUUUUUUUCAUUCAAUGCCCCUUAAUUAAAAUGGAAAUUCAUCUCCAUAUAUAUAAGUUUCUAAAUAUCACCAUCAAAUGAACCUUUCUUUUUAGCACUUGUACUACAAAAAUCGGUAAUGUUAAACGAACAUUUUGAUGAAAAUAUCGAUAAAACGUUGAUUUCAAUGAAUAUUUUUUUAAAGAAAAAGAUAAAACAAAAAAAAUCAUAAUUAGAUUUAAAUUAGUAAAUGAGGGUUUUAUAUGAUUUUCAAACCAAGUUAACUUAUGUUCGUUUGUUUUGUGUAUCAUGAAUGUUUCUAACAAUAUAACAAAAAUAUCGAUUCACCUUUAAUGUUGAUUCUGAAUCUAUGAAAAAUGAAAAUGUAAAAAAAUUUUGUCACGAACAUAGACAUGUCGAUGACAGUUUAAUACUAUACAGUUUUACUAUAUAACCAAUUAUAAUUCAAAAUAAGAGUUAUACUUAAAUAAUCAUUUAUUUAUUUAUGGAAGAAAUGUUGCCAUUUAUUUAUCUACAAUCUUCAUCUUCUCAUUAUAUCUCGAGUCAGUUGAAAGUCUCAUGAUAUCCACUAAAGUUUAUACUCACAAUCUUAAUACUAACUCGAGCAUUAGAAUAAUACAUACCAUCUAUGUGUGGCAUAGCAUGCAACUGCAUCAUUAAUGGAGGAGUUUGUUCGAGCUUGAAUUAAUGGCCAUGAUUAUCACCAUUGCACUGCCACACCCCAACAAUCUUUGGCUCAUCUUACUCCUUAAAUCAUCUCUUUCCUUUUCCUAUUUGGUUUUAUUUUUUUUACUGUUCGUCUGGUUCGGAACGAUUUAAUUUCCAUGUUUGUUUAAUUUUAUAGUUUUCAACUUGUCACCUGGAAAUAAGCUAUUUGCUACUCUUAAGCAUUCUUAUUUAAUUUCUACAUACAAGAUAUUUAUAUUUUCAUGUAAAACUGAAUAAUAAACAAAUGGGGGCCUAAAACUGAUCAUGUGCUGAUCAGGUAGAACAUUUCUAUAAACUAUGCCAAGUUAGGUAUUUGGGAACUUCAACCGCGGGUGGUCGAACUGAGUACUGAUCACUGGCUUUGGAAAGCCCCAAGCCAACCCCCUUUGGCUUUCCUAGGCUCAUGUUAGUCCUUAAAUGUUGCCAUUUUUGGUAUGUAUCAUACUCUCUUAGUAACUUUGUUGUUCUUAUAUUUGUGUUUUGUGAGUACAAGUACACAUUUCAGUCCAUGAUGAUCACCUAUAACACCAUCACUAUUGUUAGAAAAACUAGCUUUAAUUUUCAAGUUCAUUAAUUGGAAUUUGGAUAGGUGUGUAUAGUCUCUGAGGUUUCUAACUUAGAAUUAUUAUUUUAAUGCUUUGUACUUUUAAAAAAUAGGUUCAAGAGGCCUUUAUUAUGGCUUUAUAAAUUACUUAAAUCUUUUAAUUAUUUUAAAUAUUACUUGACAUUUUAAAUCUUUUAAAAAAUUAAGUAUAAAACAUUCCCCUCUCCUCAUCUAUCUCUUGAUCUCUCUCUCCCCUUCCUCCACUAAUCUUCCUUUCUCUCUUGGAAAACCGUCAAAGUAAGCCUAAUGAACGAUAUUACUAUAAUUGUGUUUUAUGAAUUGUUUGCCAAAGUAGGUUUAAAACUUAGUGGUAAUUGACUGACUUUUCAUCGAUCUCUUGUCCACAAUAUUGUUCAACUAAACAAUAUCGACAAUCAAUUAAUGACACUACAACAUCGACAUUACUAUAGAAGCUUCCCACACAAACCCUGUUGGAGGCGUUGACGAGCCCACUCUAAAUUUACUCUAAAUCUCACAAACUUUUAAGAGAAGAAAUUUGUUCUCUUAGAAAACUCAAUAACACACAAGAGAAGAAUGUUGUUCUCUUGAAACUCACUUACUUUCUAAAACUCAAUUUGCUUCUAUUGAUUUGAUUCUUUUUAUCUUGUAUACAAAUGAAGGAAAUGAUCUCUAUAUAUAGUAUUCAAGAGACACUUCCUAAAAGACACAAAAUAAAUGAAGUACAUGAAUACAUACCAUUCAUGUACUUGAAUAAUUACAUGUAUCUAGAAAUGCAUAUGUAUCUUGAAACUAGAAAUGUAUCUAUUAAUGUGUUAUCCAUAAUGUAUCUAGCUUAUUAAUUUCUAACAAACCCAUCUUUCCUACUUCAUUUUUUCUGUUCCUUUUUUUUUUUUAUCUCCGGAGGAUUAGGUAUUAUUCACUUUAACUUUUAUGAGUCUAAUAGGGUGGCUGAGCUUUAUCUUAGCUUCAAUCUAAAUAUGUUAUAGAUACCAUUAAACAUAGUUUGACUAAUUCUUCAAACUAAAAAAUAGAAUAAAGUUUUAAAAAACAAACCAAUUCUGAAUAAUUAGCAGCCCAAUAAGGAAUAUUAUAUAUAUAAAGCAGCCAUGACUUGAACAUUGAACAUAAUUAAUUAAUAUAUGAUCUUGAAGCAGUCACAAGGCCAUGCAAUUGUACAUGUGAUUAUGAAUAUAAACUUUAUUAAAAACACACCAAGUAUGUUGAAAGCAGACAUUGUGUUCUCUUAUGUGUGUAUAAAUAUAAAGGCAUAGCUAGAAGAAAAAGAAAAAAAAUAUAAGAGAGAUUAAGAAGAGAAAAAGAAAGAAAGAAAGGAAUUGAAAAAAUGGAGUGGAAGAAAAUUGGAAUGUUGGCUGUGGUGGGGAUGCUGGUGAUGGCAGCUUUGGUGGAGGAUUGUCAUGCAGCCAUUGAAUCAGAGUCUGUGAAAGGUUUGAAUAAAAAUGAAUUGCCAAGAAAGAUGAUGAAUGAAGAAACUAGAAUGUGCCCUAGAAUCCUUGAAGAGUGCACUACCGACGAUGAUUGCAUGAAUGAUUGCAUUUGCCUCUCCAAUGGCUUUUGCGGUUGAAACCUCUCUUAGAUAUAUACCUAAAUCUAUCUUAUCUUUUGCUGUCUGUGUGUGUGUUUUUUCUUUUCUUCUCUUCUAUUUCUAUGGCAAUAAAGUUUGUAACUUUGAUCACUCUAAUCUAUGAAUAAUGUGUAUCAUCAAUUUGUGCAACACCCAUCAAGGAAUAAUAACAUGUAAG